AAUUGAAAUAUGCAAUCAAGUUUCUAUGUCAUGUAAUAUUACUAGUGAUCUCAAGGUAUCUAUGUCAUGUAAUAUUACCAGUGACCUCAAGGUAUGCAUUUCCACUCAGAAGCUCCAAGGCCUGUGUGUCUGAAUUCAAAAUUUACUGAUUUCUUGCACUGAUUGGAAAAGCUCCUCACUGCUUUAAAAUCACAUGCAAAUGUAGCAGUUGGAUCAGAAGCUGAUAUACAGGUAUAUAAUACAUUUAAUAAGUGCCUUAUUUAUUAUUAUUCUGUUUUUAUAUAACGCUAACAUAUUCCACAGUGGUUUACAGAGAUAGUUGAUCAUCCACAUUAUUCUGUGCUUAAGGGGCGUUAACAAGCUAAGGUCCCUGUCACAUACACACAAAACUAUGAUCAAUUUUAAAAAAGUUAACACAGGGGAUCUAUAUAUCUGAAUACAUACACAUCCACAGGAAAUUGCGAGAGUUUACAGAUUGAUGUUUCCUGCAUGUAUGUUUUAUAAACAGAAGUAUGUCCAGAUGUUAAAGCAGUGAUGAUACUAUGUAAUUAAAGGAAGCUUUCAGAUGAAUGUGACUUAAAGGAGGGGGAGGUAUGGGUGGGCUUUCAGUGUACAUCAAACAUUCCUGAUCCUCUUAGGAGUAAAGAACUCUUUUCCUCAGUCACGAGAUUCAAACAGGCAUGAAGAGACAGUGCAGAGGUAAAACCUUGCCAGAGGGCUGGGUUGUAAAAUAGUAGGAUUCCAGUUUCUGAUCCCUGUCACCCUGUACUAUAAUAUAUUAUGGUACUCUGUACAUAUAUUGUAUUACAGGUAUGGAACCUGUUAUGCAGAAUUCUCAGGACCUGGGGUUUUCCGGAUAAUGAGUCUUUCCGUAGUUUGGAUCAACAUACUUUAUGGCUUAACAUCCAGAUGGAGUGACAGGAGUUGACAGAGGGUCCUGUUCAAAUCAAGCACAGACUGACUGGAAGCAGGACAGGUGGACGCCUUCAGGUGAUAUGUGGGGACAGAUUGAUUGAAUUAUUCCACCCUGGGAGAUUAAUGUGUUACCUCAGCAACCUGUUCACAUUCUUGUAACCCAAUCAUAUUGCUCCAUACUGUAUGUUUAAUAUGCACCAGAAAUCAUAAAUAAAUAUCUGAAAAAUGCAAA